UACGUAGGGUGCAAGCGUUAAUCGGAAUUACUGGGCGUAAAGCGUGCGCAGGCGGUUAUGCAAGACAGAUGUGAAAUCCCCGGGCUCAACCUGGGAACUGCAUUUGUGACUGCAUGGCUAGAGUCCGGUAGAGGGGGAUGGAAUUCCGCGUGUAGCAGUGAAAUGCGUAGAUAUGCGGAGGAACACCGAUGGCGAAGGCAAUCCCCUGGACCUGUACUGACGCUCAUGCACGAAAGCGUGGGGAGCAAACAGG
rnacentral:rRNA from 1 species